rnacentral:rRNA from 1 species
GAUGAACGCUGGCGGCGUGCCUAAUACAUGCAAGUCGAGCGAACAGACGAGGAGCUUGCUCCUCUGACGUUAGCGGCGGACGGGUGAGUAACACGUGGAUAACCUACCUAUAAGACUGGGAUAACUUCGGGAAACCGGAGCUAAUCCCGGAUAAUAUAUUGAACCGCAUGGUUCAAUAGUGAAAGACGGUUUUGCUGUCACUUAUAGAUGGAUCCGCGCCGCAUUAGCUAGUUGGUAAGGUAACGGCUUACCAAGGCAACGAUGCGUAGCCGACCUGAGAGGGGGAUCGGCCACACGGGAACUGAGACACGGUCCAGACUCCUACGGGAGGCAGCAGUAGGGAAUCUUCCGCAAUGGGCGAAAGCCUGACGGAGCAACGCCGCGUGAGUGAUGAAGGUCUUCGGAUCGUAAAACUCUGUUAUUAGGGAAGAACAAAUGUGUAAGUAACUAUGCACGUCGUGACGGUACCGAAUCAGAAAGCCACGGCUAACUACGUG